GCCUCAGUAGCAUAGUGGUUAGUGCACAGCCCCGGAUUGGUUUGAGACUCGGGUUCGAAUCCCGCCUGAGGUG
rnacentral:tRNA from 1 species